rnacentral:rRNA from 1 species
CCUACGGGCGGCAGCAGUGGGGAAUAUUGGGCAAUGGGCGCAAGCCUGACCCAGCAACGCCGCGUGAAGGAAGAAGGCUUUCGGGUUGUAAACUUCUUUUAAGAGGGAAGAGCAGAAGACGGUACCUCUUGAAUAAGCCACGGCUAACUCCGUUCCAGCAGCCGCGGUAAUACGUAGGUGGCAAGCGUUGUCCGGAUUUACUGGGUGUAAAGGGCGUGCAGCCGGGAAGACAAGUCAGAUGUGAAAGCCCGCGGCUCAACCGCGGAACUGCAUUUGAAACUGUUUUUCUUGAGUACCGGAGAGGUCAUCGGAAUUCCUUGUGUAGCGGUGAAAUGCGUAGAUAUAAGGAAGAACACCAGUGGCGAAGGCGGAUGACUGGACGGCAACUGACGGUGAGGCGCGAAAGCGUGGGGAGCAAACAGGAUUAGAUACCCGGGUAGUC